UGGAGGCUGAAACCCGCCUCCAUGAAGUUGGAUUCGCUAGUAAUCGCGCAUCAGCCAUGGCGCGGUGAAUACGUUCCCGGGCCUUGUACACACCGCCCGUCAAGCCAUGGGAGCCGGGGGGCGCCUGAAGUUCGUGACCGCAAGGAGCGACCUAGGGCAAAACUGGUGACUGGGGCUAAGUCGUAACAAGGUAUC
rnacentral:rRNA from 1 species